AUUGAACGCUGGCGGCAGGCCUAACACAUGCAAGUCGAACGAGUGGCGGAAGGGUAUGUAAUUUCUUGGCAACUGCCUGAUGGAGGGGGAUAACUACUGGCAACGGUCGCUAAUACCGCAUACCAUCGGAUGUGCCCAGAUGGGAUUAGCUGGUAGGUGGGGUAAAGGGUUACCUAGGCGACGAUCCCUAGCUGGUCUGAGAGUAUGACCAGCCACACUGGAACUGGGACACGGUGCAGACUCCUACGGGAGGCAGCAGUGGGGAAUAUUGCACAAGGGGCGCAAGCCUGAUGCAGCCAUGCCGCGUGUAUGAAGAAGGCCUUCGGGUUGUAAAGUACUUUCAGCGGGGAGGCGUUACCCGCAGAAGAAGCACCGGCUAACUCCGUGCCAGCAGCCGCGGUAAUAC
rnacentral:rRNA from 1 species